AACGAACGCUGGCGGCAGGCUUAACACAUGCAAGUCGAACGGACGUAGCAAUACGUUAGUGGCAGACGGGUGAGUAACGCGUGGGAAUGUGCCCUUUAGUUCGGAAUAACACAGAGAAAUUUGUGCUAAUACCGGAUAAUCCCGAGAGGGGAAAGAUUUAUCGCUGAAGGAGCAGCCCGCGUCUGAUUAGCUAGUUGGUGAGGUAAUGGCUCACCAAGGCGACGAUCAGUAGCUGGUCUGAGAGGAUGAUCAGCCACACUGGGACUGAGACACGGCCCAGACUCCUACGGGAGGCAGCAGUGGGGAAUAUUGGACAAUGGGGGCAACCCUGAUCCAGCCAUGCCGCGUGAGUGAUGAAGGCCUUAGGGUUGUAAAACUCUUUUGUCCGGGAAGAUAAUGACUGUACCGGAAGAAUAAGCCCGGCUAACUUCGUG
rnacentral:rRNA from 1 species